AAAUUGAAGAGUUUGAUCAUGGCUCAGAUUGAACGCUGGCGGCAGGCCUAACACAUGCAAGUCGAACGGUAACAGGAAGCAGCUUGCUGCUUCGCUGACGAGUGGCGGACGGGUGAGUAAUGUCUGGGAAACUGCCUGAUGGAGGGGGAUAACUACUGGAAACGGUAGCUAAUACCGCAUAACGUCGCAAGACCAAAGAGGGGGACCCUCGGGCCUCUUGCCAUCGGAUGUGCCCAGAUGGGAUUAGCUUGUUGGUGGGGUAACGGCUCACCAAGGCGACGAUCCCUAGCUGGUCUGAGAGGAUGACCAGCCACACUGGAACUGAGACACGGUCCAGACUCCUACGGGAGGCAGCAGUGGGGAAUAUUGCACAAUGGGCGCAAGCCUGAUGCAGCCAUGCCGCGUGUAUGAAGAAGGCCUUCGGGUUGUAAAGUACUUUCAGCGGGGAGGAAGGGAGUAAAGUUAAUACCUUUGCUCAUUGACGUUACCCGCAGAAGAAGCACCGGCUAACUCCGUGCCAGCAGCCGCGGUAAUACGGAGGGUGCAAGCGUUAAUCGGAAUUACUGGGCGUAAAGCGCACGCAGGCGGUUUGUUAAGUCAGAUGUGAAAUCCCCGGGCUCAACCUGGGAACUGCAUCUGAUACUGGCAAGCUUGAGUCUCGUAGAGGGGGGUAGAAUUCCAGGUGUAGCGGUGAAAUGCGUAGAGAUCUGGAGGAAUACCGGUGGCGAAGGCGGCCCCCUGGACGAAGACUGACGCUCAGGUGCGAAAGCGUGGGGAGCAAACAGGAUUAGAUACCCUGGUAGUCCACGCCGUAAACGAUGUCGACUUGGAGGUUGUGCCCUUGAGGCGUGGCUUCCGGAGCUAACGCGUUAAGUCGACCGCCUGGGGAGUACGGCCGCAAGGUUAAAACUCAAAUGAAUUGACGGGGGCCCGCACAAGCGGUGGAGCAUGUGGUUUAAUUCGAUGCAACGCGAAGAACCUUACCUGGUCUUGACAUCCACGGAAGUUUUCAGAGAUGAGAAUGUGCCUUCGGGAACCGUGAGACAGGUGCUGCAUGGCUGUCGUCAGCUCGUGUUGUGAAAUGUUGGGUUAAGUCCGCAACUAGCGCUACCUUAUCCUUUGUUGCCAGCGGUUCGGCCGGGAACUCAAAGGAGACUGCCAGUGAUAAACUGGAGGAAGGUGGGGAUGACGUCAAGUCAUCAUGGCCCUUACGACCAGGGCUACACACGUGCUACAAUGGCGCAUACAAAGAGAAGCGACCUCGCGAGAGCAAGCGGACCUCAUAAAGUGCGUCGUAGUCCGGAUUGGAGUCUGCAACUCGACUCCAUGAAGUCGGAAUCGCUAGUAAUCGUGGAUCAGAAUGCCACGGUGAAUACGUUCCCGGGCCUUGUACACACCGCCCGUCACACCAUGGGAGUGGGUUGCAAAAAGAAGUAGGUAGCUUAACCUUCGGGAGGGCGCUUACCACUUUGUGAUUCAUGACUGGGGUGAAGUCGUAACAAGGUAACCGUAGGGGAACCUGCGGUUGGAUCACCUCCUUA
rnacentral:rRNA from 1 species